rnacentral:rRNA from 1 species
AUUGAACGCUGGCGGCAUGCCUUACACAUGCAAGUCGAACGGCAGCACGGGGGCAACCCUGGUGGCGAGUGGCGGACGGGUGAGUAAUGCAUCGGAACGUGCCCUGAAGUGGGGGAUAACGCAGCGAAAGCUACGCUAAUACCGCAUAUUCUGUGAGCAGGAAAGCAGGGGAUCGCAAGACCUUGCGCUUUGGGAGCGGCCGAUGUCGGAUUAGCUAGUUGGUGGGGUAAAGGCCUACCAAGGCGACGAUCCGUAGCGGGUCUGAGAGGAUGAUCCGCCACACUGGGACUGAGACACGGCCCAGACUCCUACGGGAGGCAGCAGUGGGGAAUUUUGGGACAAUGGGCGAAAGCCUGAUCCAGCCAUGCCGCGUGAGUGAAGAAGGCCUCGGUUGUAAG